rnacentral:lncRNA from 10 species
UUCCUUUACCUACCGAAAUCCUAUGAAACGGCCCUACCCUUAUCUCCCUUCACUGACUCUCUUUUCAGACUCAGCCUGCCUGCACCCAGGACUCCACUGGAAAUCGGACUGUUCAACUCACCUGGCAGCCACUCCCAGAGCCCCUGGAACUCUGGCCCAAGGCUCUCUGACUGACUCCUUCUUGGCUUAGCGGCUGAAGACUGAUGCUGCCUGAUCGCCUCGGAAGCCCCGUAGACCAUCACGGAUGCCGAGCUUUAGGUAACUCUCACAGCGGAAGGUAUACGCCCAGAUGGCCUGAACUAACUGAAGAAUCACAAAAGAAGUGAAAAUGCCCUGCCCCACCUUAACUGAUGACAUUCCACCACAAAAGAAGUGUAAAUGGCCGGUCCUUGCCUUAAGUGAUGACAUUACCUUGUGAAAGUCCUUUUCCUGGCUCAUCCUGGCUCAAAAAACACCCCCACUGAGCACCUUGCGACCCCCACUCCUGCUCGCCAGAGAACAAACCCCCUUUGACUGUAAUUUUCCUUUACCUACCCAAAUCCUAUAAAACGGCCUUACCCUUAUCUCCCUUCGCUGACUCUCUUUUCGGACUUAGCCCGCCUGCACCCAGGUGAAAUAAACAGCCAUGUUGCUCACACAAA